UUCAAGAAUUUGUUGGAGGAGGCUUUAGAGCCUCUACGCAGAUCGAUUGAUGAAGUGAAGAAGUCUAUCGCCACUGCGAACUCUAACAGUCCGGGCCAGAACCAUUUCUGGAUACUUGAUGACAUCACCAACAUGGAUGUCGUAGUGGGACAUCGAGGAAACUCACUCAUUACUUUAUUCGAGCCCAAGCGACUUAGUUCCCUACCCAUAUCCCAUGAAGUCUUGCAAAAUUACAGAAGACAAGCAAUUACACACAACAAGCAAAGAACUGAUGGUGGUCACGAUGACUAGAAGGAAAAAUUCAGAUGAAAAGUCGGGUGGAGGUCCAUGUUGCGAAGGGCUCUAUCGAGGAAUAACCUCUCUUUAGUUGAGGUUUUCAGGUAUCGUAUCCGGGAAAUGUGCGAUAAGAGCGGCAUGAAGAUGAAAAUAAAGAAAUAGCAUUGGUGGAAAGCCUUGCCGAAGUGUCUCUUUUACAGUAUUCCGGAAAGAAAGGUAUCAUAAUUUCAAGAUCAAAGCUCCAUGUGGAACACCGCUUGUUAUUCAAAGUGAAGACGACAACACCUAUGACUCGCAUGCACUGGCUUGUCUUCUUCCACGAGAAAUGGAACGCAUUCCAGAGGCUCUACGAGAAGUCCAGAUUUUCAGCAAAUCGCAGAGAAAGACAUACACUUUAGGAGAUGUCAAAGGGCAGCAGAUCGGCACGGUUCAGCACUUUCUAAACAUACAGCUGCAUGCUUUGCUUCGAUGAGGCAAAAUAACCACGAAUUGAAGGGGAAAUCAACGGAGAACGGAGGGUAACAUCGAGGCCAAGCUCUACCUAGAAGUUCUCCAGAUACAAACAGGCUGGCGGAGGAGCUUUUAUUCCUGUGACGCUCAUGGUGGAAGGACCACAGCGUUACAAAGAAUUUGUGCUAGAAAGAAUCCGCUUUACUCUUCCAG